rnacentral:lncRNA from 1 species
GAUUGAACCCAGGGGCACUUAACCAUUCAGCCACAUCCCCAGUUCUUGUUUUUUAUUUUGAGACAGGGUCUCUUUAAGUUGCUUAGGUCUCUUUAAGUUGCCUGGCUAGUUGCUGAGGCUGGCCUUAAACUUUCAAUCCUCCUGCCUCAGCCUCCCAAGUUGCUAGGAUUACAGGUGUGCAUCACCAUGCCUAGUAGUAGGAGUAUUUUAUGAGGAAGCUAUCAUGAAUGUGAAAACAAGACAGAAACUCUAAAGAAAAAAAAAAUUAGGCUUCCAAAGAAGAAUCUGUCCAAUAAACUUUAGGAGUAUGCCUAUGUGCACGGGGGAUACAAACAUGAAUCCAGAACUCAAGAACCCAGAAUUUAAGGUGCUUAAACCAGAGAAGGCAGAGUCCUCAACCAAGGUUACCACUGCCUUCAGUGUAUCCCUCAGUACUCGAGGCUGCUGUGUACAGUUGUAUAAACCGUUGACUGCACAAGGGUGAUAACCUUAGGGUUAUUAGAGGCUGGAAUUCUUAGGGCCUAUGGAGCUGCAUACUCCCAGAAGGACCCCCUCUAAUUCUCACGCAUGAGCCAUGGGGGCUAGCCCAGACCCCAACCCCGCAGCAUCCCUAUUGCCUUGCUCUGAUCCCCUCCAAACCCCCACCCCAAGCAACCAGUGUCGUUUUAGAGACGAAAAAGUAAUGUCACCACACACACUCAUGAGCAACGGCAUCUGUAACUUGACCUUCAGCGAUCCUUUGUAGCGUUCUCCCUGCUCUUUCUCUCCCAUCCCCACCAUCUCCUUCCCCUUCGUAGUCCACAAACCACACAGUCUACACAGCACAGCUACACAGUCUAUACUGCCUCGCUUCUCUUCCUGGAGCGAGCCAUGCUCCAUCUGGUCUCUGCACAAGCUGUCUCCACCGUCUGGUCAGCUAAUACCACAAGUAUUCAGAUCCCAGUUUAGACAUUUCCUCCAAGAAACCUUCUCUGAAUCCUCCACAAGUCCUCUUUGCUGAAUCAGUUCACAUUCCUACUAGAGGCCCCUCAUGGUGGUUCCUGUGCUUUUCUAGAGCAUUUUGUCAGAGUUAUAAUGAAAUGAUUAAUAGUACAAAUAGCUUAUUAUCUCCUUCCUCCCCCAGGAAAUUAGAAGGCCCCGGAGCAUGGAGAUUAGGUCUGUUUCAUGCUGUUGAUGCUAGAUAAGCUUCUAUCUGUCCACUGACCCAUUCAUCCAUCUACUUAACCCCACUGUACAUAGUUGGUGCUGAAUAAAUGAACAAGCAUAGCUUGAUACAACAAAGGCCAGUGAGAGAUAAUGCCACUUGCUGGAGGAAGAGCAGGUACAGACAGAGAAGGCUGAAGCAGGGAGGUCUCCUGUCUCUGGGGAGUCCGGAGAGACGGGUGGAACUCCCAGGGAGCCCUGGGCCUCAGGGGCCUGCAGCAGAGGGCAACUCCCGGACACUGGGUCAUCAGGGGGAAGCCAGAGAUCUGGUCUUUCCCAGCUCCCGUGUGUCCUAGGAUGUGGGCAGCCACUGUGUCUUUGCUGGGAACAUUCCUAAGAGAUUCCCUAAUUUUCCUGACUGAGUGAACAUGAACCCUACAUGGUUCCAAAUUCCAUCCUAAAACCACAGGGCGGUUUGGGGAGCCCCAACACAGAGCCUCUGCUGCACCAGCAAUUUGGGGUCAGACUGUUCUCUUGGAUGCAGCGAACACUCUUGUGGUGCGGAGAGGGCAGGCCCAGGGGCCGUAAUGGAUACCUUCUUGAGGCCAGCCUCAAAGUGCUUUCAGCUGUGGGGUGGGGACAAACACCACUGCCCCGUGACAAGGGCUGCCCUGUGCCUGUUCAUUUAUCUGGAAUUACAGUCAGAUCUCCACGUCUAUGUG